AGAGGUCAACGUGACCCCUGCACCGGCGCCCUGGAGAGACAGAGAACCGUCGAACUGCAUCACCCAGUGGGCGGUUUGAGGCAGCUGUGAGGGGUUCGUG
rnacentral:misc_RNA from 1 species